UGUGGCUUAGUUGGUUAAAGCGCCGGUCUAGCGAAUACGGAGUCGUGGGUUCGAAUCCCACCA
rnacentral:tRNA from 1 species